GGAUUCGUCUCGUUGGUGACCAGCGGAGGGUCAUUACCGAGUUUACAACUCCCAAACCCAAUGUGAACGUUACCAAACUGUUGCCUCGGCGGGAUCUCUGCCCCGGGUGCGUCGCAGCCCCGGACCAAGGCGCCCGCCGGAGGACCAACCAAAACUCUUAUUGUAUACCCCCUCGCGGGUUUUUUACUAUCUGAGCCAUCUCGGCGCCCCUCGUGGGCGUUUCGAAAAUGAAUCAAAACUUUCAACAACGGAUCUCUUGGUUCUGGCAUCGAUGAAGAACGCAGCGAAAUGCGAUAAGUAAUGUGAAUUGCAGAAUUCAGUGAAUCAUCGAAUCUUUGAACGCACAUUGCGCCCGCCAGUAUUCUGGCGGGCAUGCCUGUCCGAGCGUCAUUUCAACCCUCGAACCCCUCCGGGGGGUCGGCGUUGGGGAUCGGCCCUUUACGGGGCCGGCCCCGAAAUACAGUGGCGGUCUCGCCGCAGCCUCUCCUGCGCAGUAGUUUGCACACUCGCAUCGGGAGCGCGGCGCGUCCACAGCCGUUAAACACCCCAAACUUCUGAAAUGUUGACCUCGGAUCAGGUAGGAAUACCCGCUGAACUUAAGCAUACA
rnacentral:rRNA from 1 species